GCUUCUAGAAUUGAUUAGGUGAGCUCUUGCUAAGGUAGCACCUUGUUUGCUUGUUUAGGAUCUUUUCAAGGUGCUAGAGAACUUAGAUAGAGGGGUGUAGUCUUGGCUAGACCGAUAGAUUGAAUUCCGCAUUUGUUUCGGUUAGCCGGCGUAAUAAUUUUUAGAAAGGACUAUUCACCCCCCCUCUAGUCCGCCAUCUCGACCCUUCACACGCGGGUGGAUAGGGAUGAAGUUGGAGCCAUUGCUUUUUCACGUGGACCCCAUCGUCCAAUUCUAUAGGAGCCAUCAAGCAUACUAUUGUGUGGUAUAUAGACAUCCUGAUUUACUCUAGAUUGUUUUCGCUGGCCAAAGUUAGGGAGCGAGGAUAUCUGUUUGAGUGCACACAAGAUUAUAGAAAAGUUAUUAGAGGGUACUAUUGUGUGGUAUAUAGACAUAAAAAAAGAAAAAAAACGACUCUGCCCAUCUCCGUCUCCAGUGCCGACGCAGCCAGGGACGCAGGCUGCACGCCGACGCCGUGACAAACGCAGUAAGUAUACUUGCUUCCCGAUUCUAUUGCUGACCAUCUGCACAUGGAGAGAAGCUCGAUGUCGCCAAGGUGGUAGGACAGUGGGAGACCACGGCCGUCGCCGCUGCGAGGUUCUCCGGCGAGCUGGGCCCCGAGUUCAGGUAGCUUCUGCACUAGGAGCUCUGUUCACUGUAUAACCUGUUAUUCUUCCAAGCAUAUAAUCUGCAAUUGAUUAUUGGCUUAUAAUCUGCUAUUCUUCCAAGCAUAUGAUGCCAAACAUGUGAAAAAAAAUCUUACCAAGUUUAGAUAUUGUUGAUUAGCAAACAAAUAUCAUGUUGGCAAACAACUAUUUUCUUAGUAAUAUUUGUUUCUUAAAGAUGAAAUAGUAAGAUAGAUAAGAUUCAUGCCAAAAGAAAUUCAUAAUGAGUUAUCAUAUUGUUGAGUCCACUGUAAUUCUGCUUAAAUAAAGGGAAAUUCAAAUAUUUUAAUUUUUCAAAAAAAGACAGCAGCCAACUGCCACAUUGGACAUUUGAUCACAUUUCUGAUUUACAAUGUUUGCUUUUGUCUAACGACAAGGGGACAGUAUCAGUAAAGAAACAUUUAUAAAUAAUAAAACUCAACAGAGG
rnacentral:lncRNA from 1 species